CCUACGGGUGGCAGCAGUGGGGAAUAUUGCACAAUGGGGGAAACCUUGAUGCAGCGACGCCGCGUGAGUGAAGAAGUAUUUCUGUAUGUAAAGCUCUAUCUGUAGGGAAGAAAAUUACGGUACCUGAUCAAUAUUCCACGGUCAACUUCGUGCCAGCAGCCGUGGCAAUACGUAGGGGGCAAGCGUUAUCCGGAUUUACUGGGUGUAAAGGGAGCGUAGACGGCAGUACAAGUCUGGAGUGAAAUGCCGGGGCUUAACCCCGGAACUGCUGUGGAAACUGUGCAGCUAGAGUGCAGGAGAGGUAAGUGGAAUGCCUGGUGUAGCGGUGAAAUGCGUAGAUAUUAGGCAGAACACCAAUUGCGAAGGCAGCCUACUAGGCUGUAACUGACGUUGAGGCUCGAAAGCGUGGGGAGCAAACAGGAUUAGAUACCCGAGUAGUC
rnacentral:rRNA from 1 species